GGGGCUAAAACCAGAGCCUCUUGAACAUUAGACAGGCCCUUGACCAACGGCACUAUAUGGUGAGAAACUUCAGCCACAUUCCAAAGUGAGAGACUCCUUUUUCUUGUCACAUUUCCCAAUUUUUUUUUCUUUCUAUCCAGCCUACCUCAGUCCAGUUUUAUUUUUGUACCUCCCAAACCUAACGAAAAGUAGGAAUUAUAUUACCCCCAAAAGGUUUGGAAUUAUUUAGGCUUUAAUCUGCUAAGGAUUUUUAGCCAGGUUUGUUUUUUAUUUACAGUGGUCUUCCUAAUGUGAAACGUCAAAAGUGCCAGAAAUAAAAGCCAGCAGAUGUUGGCUCACCUAAUCAUCUCCCUGGGCUUUUCCUCUGCUGUGGGUAUUUUUGUCGGAGUAUAGGAAUAUGGCUUGGGUCAUACAUAGUCUUGAGGCCUUGGGGAUACAUAGCAGCGAACCCCUGGCUGUGCCUGUUGUGAUUAUAAAAAGAUAAAGAGGUAUAAGAAUAUGUUCUAUGGGGGUGUGGUGAGAUGUGGGAGAAGGGGGUAUCACAGCGGGCCCAUGCUGAGGCAUCCCUUCCCCCUGAGGGACCAGCCACAGAUGGUAUAGUAUAGAACAGAGUUUAUUCAGGGGAUGGGCAACAGAGUUAAGAGGGUAGUAGAGGCAGAGAAAAGCAAAGAGAAGGAGAGUAGAGAAGUAGAAGCUGACCAUGACCACUUGAAGAGAGGGUAAAAGGGAAUGGAGAGGGCAAGAGAGAGAGAGAGAGAGGCAAGAUUAAGAGAGUAAGGAGGGGGCAAGCAGUCUCUUUAAUAGUGGGCCAGGCCUACCUGGCUGCUGCCAGGGAACUGUGGGGGUGGAGUCCAGACAGAAUACCAACAGUGCCAGUAAUGUUUUUAGACAAGAAAGAGAGUUGUGAACAAGUCUCCUACUUGUGUCUACAUUGAAAAGCAGCAACUUGAAUGGGGACAGAUUUGAGAGUGUUGUGACCAGCAGUCAUCUUCUGUAAAGUGACAACUUGACAGUCACACAGUCUUUAGUAAAGACAGUGGUUUUAAGAGAAAAGUGGGGAAGCCAUCUCAGCAGGACACAGGGUGACGUGAGAAAAAUAGGUUUGAUGGAGCCACUUUGAAAAGAAAGUGGCCGCACAUGGUACCUUUAGCCUGUUUUAAGCCUUGCCACCUCAGAUGUCUAAUUUUGCAGUUGUCAAGAGGCAUCUGCUUAGAAAACCCGGGAUGCAAUUUUCUCCUGAGAUAAACUGAAAAAUUGAUAUAUAGGUAUCUAAGAGACCUCUUCAAGUGUGUAAGUUUUUUUUGAUGAAUAUGCUUACACAUGGAAACUGAUUGCAUUCGGAGUGGCUAGUGGCAAUUUCUAGUAGCUUCUGGAGAAGCAGCCAUCUUCAAUAAGGUAAUCACUUUAAGUGCAUCUGGAGGUCUGUGACGUGCACAUGUGUUUGUAAUUACAGUCGCAGAAUUUAGAAGUAAGUGCCAGACUCCUGGGUGUUUAUUCAAUUCAACAAAUG
rnacentral:lncRNA from 1 species